rnacentral:rRNA from 1 species
UAAAAUGAGAGUUUGAUCCUGGCUCAGGACGAACGCUGGCGGCGUGCCUAAUACAUGCAAGUCGAACGCUUUUUUCAAUCAU